CAACGGCCCUUAUGUGCCCCCACAGCUUGUUAGGAAUAGGAGGAGAACCUCAUCCUAACAUGAGCAAAGUCGAAGACCCGAUUUCUUAAAGAUCGGAUGGGGGGAGAGGCCCUCACAAUGGCCCAUAUGUGCCCCCACAGUCUUAUUAGGAACAGAAGGAGAACCUCAUCCUAACAUGAGCAAAGUCGAAGGCCCGGUUACUUAA
rnacentral:lncRNA from 1 species